rnacentral:rRNA from 1 species
UACGUAGGAGGCAAGCGUUAUCCGGAUUUACUGGGCGUAAAGCGUGUGCAGGCGGUUUGGUAAGUUGGAUGUGAAAUCUCCUGGCUCAACCAGGAGGUGUCGUUCAAAACUGCCAGACUCGAGGACGGUAGAGGAGAGUGGAAUUCCCGGUGUAGUGGUGAAAUGCGUAGAUAUCGGGAGGAACACCUAUGGCGAAGGCAGCUCGCUGGGACGUUACUGACGCUGAGACGCGAAAGCGUGGGGAGCAAACAGG